rnacentral:sRNA from 1 species
ACCAAAACCGUCACUGCCACCUGUAAAUGUCCUUCUGCGAUUGAACUUAUUGGUGGUACUGUAACAGGUGGGUAAAAAAAAAAAAAAAAUAUUUCAAAUUCUGUGAAUUUCAGAAAAAUUUCAGGUGAAAACUGCGAAACCCUUCAAAUUCCUUCAACAGCCCCCAAAGAAUUUAUUCCAUGUGCCGAGGGAAGUAAUUCGACGAUGUUUUUUAAGAAAUUCAUCGCAAAGUAGGAAAAGUUUAUAGAAUGGUUGUAAAACUCACAUUUUCAGUAUUUCCUUGGAAUAUAUGGAUGACAUUUCGGAGUUGGAAGCAAUUAAAAAUGACUACAAUGAUGGGAAGAAUGUCAAUGGGACGAUGACUGAUGGAUGGUGUAGAAAUGAUGGGAAGUGUGUACCUGAAGUUGUUCGAGG